GCAUGUGCGCGAUAUAUAUUAACCCACCGGAUCCCAUCAGAACUCCGAAGUUAAGCGUGCUGGGGUGAGAGUAGUACUAGGAUGGGUGACCUCGUGGGAAGUCCUCGUGUUGCAUUCC
rnacentral:rRNA from 1 species